UAUGGCUGUUCGCCAUUUAAAGUGGUACGCGAGCUGGGUUUAGAACGUCGUGAGACAGUUCGGUCCCUAUCUGCCGUGGGCGCUGGAGAACUGAGGGGGGCUGCUCCUAGUACGAGAGGACCGGAGUGGACGCAUCACUGGUGUUCGGGUUGUCAUGCCAAUGGCACUGCCCGGUAGCUAAAUGCGGAAGAGAUAAGUGCUGAAAGCAUCUAAGCACGAAACUUGCCCCGAGAUGAGUUCUCCCUGAGACUUAGAGUCUCCUGAAGGAACGUUGAAGACGACGACGUUGAUAGGCCGGGUGUGUAAGCGCAGCGAUGCGUUGAGCUAACCGGUACUAAUGAACCGUGAGGCUUAACCUU
rnacentral:rRNA from 1 species